AUCAUUGUCUGGGAGAUCAUAGUGUGGCGGAUUAGUCGCCCACAGACCCAGAGGGGGAGGAGCCCCUUAUUGAACCCUGGUGGGCGGAGCCACGCCACACUCAACCCUCCUGCUGGCAAGUUAGUGGGCGGGACCGGAAGUACAAAAGGCGGGCCGGAGAUCUCAGUUUGGAGGUAGCUGCCAAAGAAGCCAGAUAGCUGCUGUGAGCUCCUGAGCUGGGAGGCUGCUGCAGACCCCAAGGGUGCUGAGGGCUGACCAGGGCCAUUUACAGACCUGAGCACGGAGGAGCUGCAGGUGCUGACAGAGGCCUUCUUCCCUGAUGACCCUCUGCAGAGCCAGAUAAUCCAAGACGGCCGACAGUAGAAAAGAUUCAGGCACAAGGGAGUGAUGGUGACACCAGUGGCUGAAACCUCUUCCAUUUCUGAAGAACAGCACAGUCCAGGAACACCCACGGUUCUGGAUCAUUAUCAAGCAGAACCCGUCAUCAGCAUGGACGCAUGUCCCGUGGAAUGGUGGAUGAAGCACGAAGGGACAUAUAAAUCUUUAGCGCAUCUGGCACAUUAAUAUCUUGCAAUGCUGGCUACAACAGUGCCAUGCAAACGCCUGUUCUCACUUUCAGGUGACAUUGUAAACAAGAAGCAGGCAGCAUUAUCUCCUGAAAAUUGUAAACAAACUUGUUUGUCUGAGCGAUUCGCUGAAGUAGGACUGAGCGGACUUGUAGGCUCUUAAGUUUUACAUUGUUUUAUUUUUUAUUGCAGUUUUUUUGGUACAUAAUUCUACAUUUGUAAGUUCAAUUUUCAUGAUAAAGUUAUUGCACUACAGUACUUGUAUUAGGUGAACUGAAAAAUACUAUUUCUUUUGUUUUUUACAGUGCAAAUAUUUGUAAGCAAAAAUAAAUAUAAAGUGAGCACUGUACGCUUUGUAUUGUGUUGUAAUUGAAAUCAAUAUAUUUGAAAAUGUAGAAAACAUCCAAAAUAUUUAAAUAAAUGGUAUU